GACGAACGCUGGCGGCGUGCCUAAUACAUGCCAGUUGAGCGCUGAAGGUUGGUACUUGUACCAACUGGAUGAGCAGCGAACGGGUGAGUAACGCGUGGGGAAUCUGCCUUUGAGCGGGGGACAACAUUUGGAAACGAAUGCUAAUACCGCAUAAAAACUUUAAACACAAGUUUUAAGUUUGAAAGAUGCAAUUGCAUCACUCAAAGAUGAUCCCGCGUUGUAUUAGCUAGUUGGUGAGGUAAAGGCUCACCAAGGCGAUGAUACAUAGCCGACCUGAGAGGGUGAUCGGCCACAUUGGGACUGAGACACGGCCCAAACUCCUACGGGAGGCAGCAGUAGGGAAUCUUCGGCAAUGGACGAAAGUCUGACCGAGCAACGCCGCGGGAGGGAAGAAGGGUUUCGGAUCGUAAAACUCGGUUGGUAGAGAAGAACGUUGGUGAGAGUGGAAAGCUCAUCAAGUGACGGUAACUACCCAGAAAGGGACGGCUAACUACGUG
rnacentral:rRNA from 1 species